rnacentral:rRNA from 1 species
GAUUCCCCUAGUAACGGCGAGUGAACAGGGAACAGCUCAGCGCCAAGUCCUGACACUUGACGUGUUCAGGAGAUGCGGCGUUAGUGUAUUGAUGCAUCGUGCACUGUCUCGUAUCUCAAGUUCCUUUGACAGGGACUCCCAGAGUGGGUGCUAGGCCCAUAGAGAUUGCAGGACUGGUGCACGCAAAUCAUUGCAUGUUAGAGUCAGGUUGCUUGAGAGUGCAGCCUAAAGCAGGUGGUAAACUCCAUCUAAGGCUAAAUAUUACAGCGAGACCGAUAGCAAACAAGUACCGUGAGGGAAAGUUGCAAAGAACUUUGAAGAGAGAGUUCAAAAGGACGUGAAACCACUGACAGGCAAACGGGUGGAACCACGAAGUGUGCCUGAAAGGCGAUUCAGUUUUCACCGUUUUGGUUGGCUGCGCGUGUGCGUGAGGUCCGUUUCUUCUGACCUGAACAGGCGCAGUGUGUACAAUCGGCGGUGGUGAUGCAUUUCGUCCUUUCAGUGCUAAAGCCACGUCCGAUUAGAUGGCUGGAACGGCCGUAGUGAGUGACCUGUGGAAGGUGGCCGUCAGGUGCUUGCGUUUGGCGGUGUUAUAGCCACGGGUCCGUGCCGUUGCCUAGCGUACUGAUCGGUAUAAGUUCUCCUUUUGGAGUUUUUUAUAGGGUUAGUGCACCUGUAGUUGCCUGGUUGUUGCGUCAGUCUGACCUUUCGCAUCUUCGGGCGCGUAAAGACAGAUUGACGUCGGUGGCCAGUGUGCUGCAGUGUGUGGCUAACUUGUGUGCAAACGGUGGUGCGAGUAGGUCGGUCUCCACCCGACCCGUCUUGAAACACGGACCAAGGAGCCUAACAUAUACGCGAGUCGCUCGGUCUUGUUUAGGCCUGAGAGGCGCAAUGAAAGUAACUGGCUAUGAGGCUGGAAGCGCGUGCGCAUCGUGUGGUGUGCUGCAACCAGUCGCAAUAGCGGCCCGCCUAUUCUCUUUAUCGGGGGUAUGGCGGAGUCGGAGCGUAUACGUUGGUACCCGAAAGAUGGUGAACUAUGCCUGGGCAAGACGAAGCCAGAGGAAACUCUGGUGGAGGUCUGUAGCGAUUCUGACGUGCAAAUCGAUCGUCAGACCUGGGUAUAGGGGCGAAAGACUAAUCGAACCAUCUAGUAGCUGGUUCCCUCCGAAGUUUCCCUCAGGAUAGCAGGCGCUUGUUGAACUCAGUCUCAUCCGGUAAAGCUAAUGAUUAGAGGUCUUGGGGCCGAAACGGCCUCAACCUAUUCUCAAACUUUAAAUGGGUGAGAUGCUUGACUUGCUUAACCCCCUUGUGUGAAGCCAAGCAAUUGGAUGUAAGUGCCUAGUGGGCCAGCUUUGGUAAGCAGAACUGGCGCUGUGGGAUGAACCAAACGUCGAGUUAAGGCAUCAAAUGCGUACGCUCAUCAGACCCCAUGAAAGGUGUUGGUUGCUAUAGACAGCAGGACGGUGGCCAUGGAAGUCGGAAUCC